rnacentral:misc_RNA from 1 species
GUAGCACGUCCUCAUCGACGAGCCGACAUGGAGACUGGCACACGCCAGCCAGCUAGUGGCAUGAAGUGGCAAUCACCGAGCCGACUGUCGUACAUUGAGAGAGCUUUCGUUAGGGAUGCGACCGCAACGGGUCACGAGCCUUUAUCAUUUGCAACAUCCGAAACCAAUAGUGCGAGCGAGGUGGCCUUGGAAGCACCGGGCACGUAGGGCACCAGCACCACGAGGCAACGCCGCACGAACUAUUAGGCCGCAGCGGAACUCCCUUGGGGGUCCACAGCGAGGCAACCGUGUAUGAAGCACAACUUCCCGUAGUUUGGGUACCAGCAUGCAAGCACUCGUCGAUGGAGCGGAAUGGUUAGAACCGCAAGAAUGAUAGGAUAUCGGCGCCAGUAGUCGGCCGCACAUCGGCGGGGGUCCUGCUGGCAGACACGAGUCCAAGACAACUCAUGCGCUCGCGUAGCCAACUGG